rnacentral:pre_miRNA from 1 species
UAGCUCUAGUUGGAGAAGCAGGGCACGUGCAAGUUCUUGAAUUUGAAGAUAUGUGUAUUUUUCAUGCAUGAAUCUUGCACGUGUUCUGCUUCCCCAACCUGAGUUU